GGUUAAGCGACUAAGCGUACACGGUGGAUGCCCUGGCAGUCAGAGGCGAUGAAGGACGUGCUAAUCUGCGAUAAGCGUCGGUAAGGUGAUAUGAACCGUUAUAACCGGCGAUUUCCGAAUGGGGAAACCCAGUGUGUUUCGACACACUAUCAUUAACUGAAUCCAUAGGUUAAUGAGGCGAACCGGGGGAACUGAAACAUCUAAGUACCCCGAGGAAAAGAAAUCAACCGAGAUUCCCCCAGUAGCGGCGAGCGAACGGGGAGCAGCCCAGAGCCUGAAUCAGUGUGUGUGUUAGUGGAAGCGUCUGGAAAGGCGCGCGAUACAGGGUGACAGCCCCGUACACAAAAAUGCACAUGCUGUGAGCUCGAUGAGUAGGGCGGGACACGUGGUAUCCUGUCUGAAUAUGGGGGGACCAUCCUCCAAGGCUAAAUACUCCUGACUGACCGAUAGUGAACCAGUACCGUGAGGGAAAGGCGAAAAGAACCCCGGCGAGGGGAGUGAAAAAGAACCUGAAACCGUGUACGUACAAGCAGUGGGAGCACGCUUAGGCGUGUGACUGCGUACCUUUUGUAUAAUGGGUCAGCGACUUAUAUUCUGUAGCAAGGUUAACCGAAUAGGGGAGCCGAAGGGAAACCGAGUCUUAACUGGGCGUUAAGUUGCAGGGUAUAGACCCGAAACCCGGUGAUCUAGCCAUGGGCAGGUUGAAGGUUGGGUAACACUAACUGGAGGACCGAACCGACUAAUGUUGAAAAAUUAGCGGAUGACUUGUGGCUGGGGGUGAAAGGCCAAUCAAACCGGGAGAUAGCUGGUUCUCCCCGAAAGCUAUUUAGGUAGCGCCUCGUGAAUUCAUCUCCGGGGGUAGAGCACUGUUUCGGCAAGGGGGUCAUCCCGACUUACCAACCCGAUGCAAACUGCGAAUACCGGAGAAUGUUAUCACGGGAGACACACGGCGGGUGCUAACGUCCGUCGUGAAGAGGGAAACAACCCAGACCGCCAGCUAAGGUCCCAAAGUCAUGGUUAAGUGGGAAACGAUGUGGGAAGGCCCAGACAGCCAGGAUGUUGGCUUAGAAGCAGCCAUCAUUUAAAGAAAGCGUAAUAGCUCACUGGUCGAGUCGGCCUGCGCGGAAGAUGUAACGGGGCUAAACCAUGCACCGAAGCUGCGGCAGCGACGCUUAUGCGUUGUUGGGUAGGGGAGCGUUCUGUAAGCCUGCGAAGGUGUGCUGUGAGGCAUGCUGGAGGUAUCAGAAGUGCGAAUGCUGACAUAAGUAACGAUAAAGCGGGUGAAAAGCCCGCUCGCCGGAAGACCAAGGGUUCCUGUCCAACGUUAAUCGGGGCAGGGUGAGUCGACCCCUAAGGCGAGGCCGAAAGGCGUAGUCGAUGGGAAACAGGUUAAUAUUCCUGUACUUGGUGUUACUGCGAAGGGGGGACGGAGAAGGCUAUGUUGGCCGGGCGACGGUUGUCCCGGUUUAAGCGUGUAGGCUGGUUUUCCAGGCAAAUCCGGAAAAUCAAGGCUGAGGCGUGAUGACGAGGCACUACGGUGCUGAAGCAACAAAUGCCCUGCUUCCAGGAAAAGCCUCUAAGCAUCAGGUAACAUCAAAUCGUACCCCAAACCGACACAGGUGGUCAGGUAGAGAAUACCAAGGCGCUUGAGAGAACUCGGGUGAAGGAACUAGGCAAAAUGGUGCCGUAACUUCGGGAGAAGGCACGCUGAUAUGUAGGUGAGGUCCCUCGCGGAUGGAGCUGAAAUCAGUCGAAGAUACCAGCUGGCUGCAACUGUUUAUUAAAAACACAGCACUGUGCAAACACGAAAGUGGACGUAUACGGUGUGACGCCUGCCCGGUGCCGGAAGGUUAAUUGAUGGGGUUAGCGCAAGCGAAGCUCUUGAUCGAAGCCCCGGUAAACGGCGGCCGUAACUAUAACGGUCCUAAGGUAGCGAAAUUCCUUGUCGGGUAAGUUCCGACCUGCACGAAUGGCGUAAUGAUGGCCAGGCUGUCUCCACCCGAGACUCAGUGAAAUUGAACUCGCUGUGAAGAUGCAGUGUACCCGCGGCAAGACGGAAAGACCCCGUGAACCUUUACUAUAGCUUGACACUGAACAUUGAGCCUUGAUGUGUAGGAUAGGUGGGAGGCUUUUGAAGUGUGGACGCCAGUCUGCAUGGAGCCGACCUUGAAAUACCACCCUUUAAUGUUUGAUGUUCUAACGUUGGCCCGUAAUCCGGGUUGCGGACAGUGUCUGGUGGGUAGUUUGACUGGGGCGGUCUCCUCCUAAAGAGUAACGGAGGAGCACGAAGGUUGGCUAAUCCUGGUCGGACAUCAGGAGGUUAGUGCAAUGGCAUAAGCCAGCUUGACUGCGAGCGUGACGGCGCGAGCAGGUGCGAAAGCAGGUCAUAGUGAUCCGGUGGUUCUGAAUGGAAGGGCCAUCGCUCAACGGAUAAAAGGUACUCCGGGGAUAACAGGCUGAUACCGCCCAAGAGUUCAUAUCGACGGCGGUGUUUGGCACCUCGAUGUCGGCUCAUCACAUCCUGGGGCUGAAGUAGGUCCCAAGGGUAUGGCUGUUCGCCAUUUAAAGUGGUACGCGAGCUGGGUUUAGAACGUCGUGAGACAGUUCGGUCCCUAUCUGCCGUGGGCGCUGGAGAACUGAGGGGGGCUGCUCCUAGUACGAGAGGACCGGAGUGGACGCAUCACUGGUGUUCGGGUUGUCAUGCCAAUGGCACUGCCCGGUAGCUAAAUGCGGAAGAGAUAAGUGCUGAAAGCAUCUAAGCACGAAACUUGCCCCGAGAUGAGUUCUCCCUGACUCCUUGAGGGUCCUGAAGGAACGUUGAAGACGACGACGUUGAUAGGCCGGGUGUGUAAGCGCAGCGAUGCGUUGAGCUAACCGGUACUAAUGAACCGUGAGGCUUAACCUU
rnacentral:rRNA from 1 species